CAUCACUACGCUAGAUGCAUAUCAAUAAGCGGAGGAAAAGAAACUAACAAGGAUUCCCCUAGUAACGGCGAGUGAAGCGGGAAGAGCUCAAAUUUGAAAUCUUAAAGGGUUUCCCUUUACGAAUUGUAGUUUAAAGAAGUGUUUUCUGUUGAGGUUUUGGUAAAAGUUCUUUGGAAUAGGACAUCAUAGAGGGUGAGAAUCCCGUAUUUGACCUUUACUUUCAACUUUGUGAUACACUUUCAAAGAGUCGGAUUGUUUGGGAAUGCAGUCCAAAAUGGGUGGUAAUUUCAUCUAAAGCUAAAUAUUGGCGAGAGACCGAUAGCGAACAAGUACCGUGAGGGAGAGAUGAAAAGAACUUUGAAAAGAGAGUUAAACAGUACGUGAAAUUGUCAAAAGGGAAGCGUUUGACACCAGUGUUGUUUUUCUGAAAAUCAAUUAAAGAACUGUUUAUGCUAAGUUGUUUAGACUUUAUCAGCUAACUGUUUAGUUUUGAGCUUUUCUUUAAUGCACUUUUCAGUUAACAAGUCAACAUCAAUUUCUUUUGCUGUAAAAAAGCUUGAGGAAGGUGGCUUGAGAUUCGUCUUAAGUGUUUAUAGCCUCUUGCCUAUGCAGUCGGAGAGAUUGAGGUCUGCAGCGUAGAUCCUUCGGGGCUAAAUGCAUUUGUGCUAAGUUAUAGCAUUUUAUAGACAACUUGUUGACUUAUGAUUUGUCUUGUAGCUUACUCGCUUAUGUUAUUUUACCUACGCUUAGGAUGUUGACGCAUGAGAUAUACGC
rnacentral:rRNA from 1 species